GUGCUCGCUUCAGCAGCAUAUAUACCAAAUCUGGAACGAUACAGAGAAGCUUAGCAUGGCCCCAUGGAAGGAUGAUGCUCAAAUUCGCCAAGUGUUCCAUAUUUUU